UUUUUUUUUUUUUUUUUGAGAUGGAGUCUUGCUCUGUCACCCAAUGGAGUGCAGUGGCAUGAUCUCAGCUCCCUGCAAUCUCCACUUCCUGGGUUCAAGCCAUUUUCCUGUCUCAGCCUCCUGAGUAGCUGGGAUUACACGCACACCACCACGCCCAGCUAAUUCCUGCAUUUUUAGUAGACAUGGGGUUUCCCCAUAUUGGCCAGGCUGGUCUCAAGCUCAUGACUUCAGGUGAUCUGCCUGCCUCAGCCUCCCAAAGUGUUGGAUUACCAGUGUGAGCCACCAUGCCUAGCCACCAAAUCAUUUUUGACAAAGGUGCCAAGACCAUCCAAUGAGGAAAGGACAGUCUCUUCAACUAAUGGCACUGGGACCAGUAGAUACUCACAUGCAAAUUAAUAAAUUGAACCCUUAUCUCACACCAUAUAUAAAAAUUUACUCAAAUCACAAAACUGAACAUAAGAACUAAACUGAAAACUCUUAGGAUAAUGCAUACAGGAAAAGUUUUAUGGCAUUGGGUUUAGCAACGAUUUUUCUGAUAUUAUGCCAAAUGCACAGGUAACAAAAGAAAAACUAGAUAAAUUUGACUUCAUCAAAAUUAAAAGCUUUUGUGCAUCAGUGAACACUAUCAAGUGAGUGAAAAAGCAAUCCACAGAAUGGGAGAAAAUAUUUGCAAAUUAUAUCUGAUAAGGAAUUAACAUACAGACUAUAUUACCCAGUCUGUAACAGCAGCAGAAAACAACUCAAUUCAAAAAUGGGCAAAGAAUAUGAAUAGGCUUUCUUUAAAGAAGAUAUACAAAUGGGCAAUAAACAUGAAAAGACUCUCAACAUCACCAGUCAUAAAAGAAAUGCAAAUCAAAACCACAAUGAGACACCACUUCACACCCAUUAGGAUGGCUGUUAUUAAAAGUAAUGGAAAAUAACAAGUGUUUACGAGGAUGUGAAGACAUUGGGAUCCUUGCUUACAGGAAUACAAAAUGGUGCAACCACUGUGGAAAACAGUUUGAUGGGUCCUCAGAAAGUUCAACAUAGAAUGGCCAUAUAAUCUAGCAAUUCCACUUCUAAGUAUAUUCCAAAAAGAGUUAAAAGAAAGGAUCACACAGAUACUUGUAUAUCAAUGUUCACAGCAGCAUGAAUUAUUCACAAUAACCAAAAGGUGGAAACAAUCCAUCAGUGGAUUAAUGGAUAAACAAAGGUGGUGUGUGCACACAAUGGAAUAUCAUUCAGCCUUAAAAAGGAAAGGAAUUCUGACACACACAACAGCACAGAUGAACCCUGAAGGCAUCACGCUAAGUGAAAUACGCCAGUCACAAAAAGACAAAUACUGUAGGAUUUCAUCACAUUAGGUCCCUAGGGUUGUUACAUUCAUAGAGACAGAAAGUAGAAUGGUGGUUGCCAGGGGCUGGGGGUGGGACAAAUGAGGAAGUCUUGUUUAAUGAGCUGAGAGUUUGUGUUUGGGAAGAUGAAAAAUUCUAUGUGGUGGUGAUAGUGUGAAUGCGCUUAACACUACCAAACUGCAUACUUAAAAAUUGUUCAACGAUCCAUUUUAUGUUAUGUGUAUUUUAUCACAGAAUAAAUAAACAGAAAUGUUGUGCAACGCUAUAGACCACGUCCAUCUUGGAAAGUCACGAUGUGUAUUGAAUCUUGUCAUAAAGAACUCCAUUUAGCCGUGUUUGGCCCAGUGUUUCUCAAAGACACUGAGCAGGGUCUGUUUAUUUCUGCACGUGGGCAGUGGUCAGAGGGAUUCCAGUUUCAGAAGUGGCUCUCGGGAGAUUUUACAGCACAGAGGGUUGAAGUCACUGCUAAACUGAUGCACGCAGUCAAAUUAAAGAGUUUAUUAGGGCAGCAUUUUUGAAGCAGAACAAAACAGUUGCAUGUAAAGAUGGUUCUGAAGAUCCCAAGAGAAGAAACAAAGGGGGAUUGGUUUUGGGAGGAAAAACAGAAAGGUGCUCCUCUCCUAAAGAAGUCAUCAUUCCUGUAUUUUUGUUUUCCUUGCUGACAAAACAUGGAAGAAAAUCCAUGACAUGAGGUAUGAAGCAGAAGUCAUGCCCAACACUUCUUAGAGUAGCAAAGGAGAAGUGGCAAAGCAAAAGCAUGUUUGGGGGGACUGGAGGUGGCAAUUGGUGUGACUGACAGCCAGAUGAUCUCAGGAGCGACAGCACGCACGAGCCCCUAACACGCUCAGGAGGUCAGAUUUCCGAGGGUUCCAUCAUCUCGAAGUGGCUUCCCAGCCAAUUCGGAGCCCGUGGUUGAUCUGUUUCUGGGAAGGGUAAGAACUCGGGGCCUCAAACCUUCUGCCCUCCAGGCUUUGAAGUGAUCACUCCUUCCUCACUGUGAGCCCCAUUCUGGUGAAAUGCACAAAUGAUCCUAAUGCAAUCGCAAUGCCAUAUGUUCUUUUCAGUCAGUGGUGGGAAUUCCUGAAAAAGCAAAAUUAAAAAUGGGGGCAGGGACCCUUUCAUUGGUGCAGCCGAACUCUACAGCUGCGGCUGCAAAAAAAAGCCAAGACAAAAACUGGAGACUGCGCCCCAGGCCAGGCCAGGCCAGGCAGCGGCUGGGAUGGAGCCCGGCCCGGAAGGCUGCGGAAUCAAUGGCACACACACAGCGGCGCGCAGGUCUCCGUUCCACAGGGAAGGCCCCUGGGAUUUGCAGAGUCUCAGGAAAGCCUGCAGGCCGAUGGGCCCUCUGCACUUCCUGUUUGGUUACUUUGCAUCUUUCAUCUCUGAUGGACCCCGACACGUGGGCCUUCCCCAACUGCCCCACGUGUGUCUACCCUCGACCCUCAGGACGCAGGGCAGGACAUGGCGAUUGGCUCUUACGAGCGGCUCUUCUACAGCUGUCCAAUUAAUGAGCACUGAGGGUGCACACUUGGCGGCCACUUCUGAGUUAUACCUAAUUGUGCUUACAGCUGGAAAGGAAAAAAAAAACACCUGCUCUUCCCUUUCUUCCCCUCCCUCUCUCCUCCCUUCCUGGGUGCACUGCCCUGCAAGGGCCCGUCUUUGUUAUCAAACGUGGGGUGCACCCAGCUUACCCCACUCAUAGUACUCUCCAAAUAGGUGCCUUUUCAAUGGCAAAAUCCAAUGGAAACAAAUUCAGUCCAAGGGUCAAUUAUGGGCUUAUUUUCAUAUUUAUGGAUGGAAUACUUUUCCCCAAAAGACGUUAAUGAUAGCCUAAAGCACAGGCUAAUCAAAACACCAGCCACUGAAUGGGAAGAAGGCAAAGGAAGCGCGUGCUCCGCCGCUCUCCGCACGCGGAAUGGUUACAUCCUGCACAGUUUCCCACCUCAAUCUCUUUCCAAAUGAAUGCUUUCUAAAAUGUCUUGACAAAAGUCAGCAUCUCCACCAAAAAAAAAAAAAAAUCUUAUUAUUCCCCAUUCUCCAUUCUCCACUGGCAGAAAUGACAACCUGGAACAAAUCACAUCUUUUGGUGUGGGCCUGUUAGCCGUCUGUCUUGGAGAAAGCCGGCAGCGCAGUUCCUGCAGGUCACCUCUGCGGUGCUAUUUCCGGGAUAUUUAACAGUAUCUGGGGCUUUGCUUACCUUCGCUCAGGUACACUCUUUGUAUCAGGUGAAUUUGGGGUGAUGAGCUCGAAGGUGGCAUUUGCAUCUAAGCUGCAGGUUCCAUUUAGCCCCACAUACACUGUCAAGGCCACCACGGGAACAUGGCUGUGGUACAACUUCAUCAUGUCGUUCAACAAAUUUGUUUUAACUGAUAUCCGAUUUCACGAUCGUCUUACAUUUAUUUAUCUAAAAUGUACUUACGUUGUAAUUAUAAAUGCUCCAUGAAACAAUUGCUAGUAUGAAAGAUGUAUGUGUAAGUUUUAUAAGAUAUUAUCGGGUGGGCACGGUGACUCAUGCUUGUAAUCCCAGAGGAGGCCGAGGUGGGUGGAUCACCCCAGGUCAGGAGUUUGAGACCAGCCUGUCCAACAUGACGAAACCUUGUCUCUACUAAAAACACAAAAAUUAGCCAGGCAUGGUGGUGCACGCCUGUAAUCCCAGCUACUGGGGAGGCUGAGGCAAGAGAAUCGCUUGAACCUGGGAGGUACAGGGUGCAGUGAGCUGAGAUCACGCCAUUGCACUCCAGCCUGGGCAACAGGGUGAGACUCUAUCUCAAAAAAAAAAAAAAGAAAGAAAAAGAAUUGUAUAAUAUUAAUAUUUUUGGACAAAUAUGAGUUGGUUUACUGUGUUGCUGGGACCUAUUUUAAAAAUGUGCUACCCUCCCCUCAUCUUCAAAUCAUUGUGGUCCAUGGGUCCUUUCUCACAUGGAAGUUCCGUCCUCUCAGCUGUGGAAGUGACACUGUUAAGUGACUUCUUUCCUGAUUCUGAUUUUCAAGCCUUAAAUACAGCCCAUGUGCAGCUCUCUUUUUUGCUCCCUGACCUGACCUGUGCCACUUCUCACCAUUUAAUAACUAAACUUUAAGAUGCAAUACUUGUAUCUACAAAUUAUCAAUGAUGCUAACACAGGUCAGCUUUAUUUCUGCAAAUACGUACAGCUCCCACCUAUUGAGCACGUACCCUGGGCCAGAGCCUACACGAAGCACUUUAUGUAGAUUAUCUCAUUUAAUCCUCACAUCAGCUCCUUGAGGAAGGACAUGCUAUUGGUCAGCCUCAAAUUUCAGAUGAGGAAACUGAGUCUCAAAGAGGUUACAGAAUGGCCAGGUCAUGUGUCUAAUCACACAGGUAAAUUGGAUUCAGCACAGGAUUGACCUGGCUCCCAGAUUAGCACUCUUAAGUGUCACCAAAGCUGCCUUCCGUCCUGAUGGAGGCACAGAUGUGUGCUGAGCACAUUUGGGCCGAGCCCGCCACGUGGCCCAGGGAUGGAGAAGCAUCUCCCCUCCACCAGGACCUCUCAGUCAGCUGAGGAGGAGAGACACAGCCUGCUGGGAGAGCUGCUCGAGGUAUUUAUAAGAUUCCAAAACAGAUGACCAAGUGGGUGUGCCUGUGACGUCACCCCGCCUGGCCAAGGGUCAGCUCACGUGUGAAGAGCUUAUCACGGGCAGACAGAGCAAAAUGGGUGUGCAGGUUCAGCAAGGGCACCCACUGUCCAGGGUUCCCCCUGAAACCAUCAUCUAUGAAACAACCAACACUAAACAAGUUCAUUUUGGUUUUGGCCUUGUGCUAACUGCCAGAGAAUCAGCAGCAUAGUAGUGAUCAGGUUACCUUACUUGGCCAAGAUGAAGGGAUAUUACAAGUGUGAUCAAGGCCUCCAACAACAGGCUUUGAGUUCAUCAAAGGAAACCAUAAUUAAUAGGCCCAACGUAAUCAGGUGAGCCCUUGAAAGAGACUGGAAGCCAAAGAGGUGUUCUCCUGCUGACCUCAAAGAGGCAAACUGUCGUGUGGUGGAGGGGCCCCAGGGCAGGCAGCAAAAACAAGGGGGGCAGCCUCUUGUUUUUGAGGGUGUCAAUUCUACCACACAAGCAAUCGGCUUCAGCCAACCCCAGAGCUUGGAAGGGAGCACCCUGAGCCCCUGGAAAGAUCACAGCAAGGGCCGUUGCCUUGACUUCAGCCUGGCGAGUCCCUAAACAGAGAACCCAGACUUCCUAACCACAGAACCUGAGAUUAACAGGUCACUGUUUACUGGAGUAAGUUUGGGAUUAAUUUGUUACUUAGCAAUGGAAAACAAAUAUGUAAGGUCAUCAAGAAAAAUCAAGAAGCAAUAGAAAAGGGUGAGGGAGUCUAUGAGCAAAGAAAUGCUGUGCAGUUCAAGCUCACACCAAUGCCACUGAGGUGACACUAUCCAGCCUGCAGCAGCUCGCAGCACCCAUCCCUGGAAAUGAGAGGAGUGUCAUUUGGAGUAUGAAGCUCAUUUCAUGAAAUAUUGAUAUUAAAGCUGAUUUUGCAAUGAAUUCAAUCUAGACUCAUUUUAAUGAAAAGAAUUGUAACCAAAAUAUGUGACAAUCAUCUCCCUUAGGAAACCUUUCCUAGAGCUUGAAAGCUCCUGGUGUCCUGGGCCCUUUUGUGAUCCCCACUACAGCCCCCAUGACUCUAUGCUUAGCCAGUUUGCAAAAUUUAACCUGCAACUGUAGUCUUCAUGUUGUUUUCUAAUAUUUAUGAAAAUACCAAACAUCUAGCAGCAAAUGUUGGUUCAAUGAAUGAACACAUGCAUGGAUGAGAUUAUAGGAGGAAAACUACGUUUGCUUCUAGGUACCUGGAAAUUGAACACAAACAAUGAGUUCACUGGAAGCUGCAGGAGGGCAGAGACAGAUGAUGUCUGUCAUCAUCACCAUAAGUGAUAUUGGGCUCCUAGCCCACCACCUGUCACGUGGGGGACCCUUAUUUUGUGAGCCUGUGUUCACCAACCAAUCUUGUUGACUGAGGUUGGUGGAGCUAAAAGAAAGAAGGGUGAACUAAGUCAAGAUUUAAACUAAGACAAGCAAAGACUCAAACAGCUGAAAAUAUGGAAGUGGACAUAGCUAGUGAUGAUGAAGGCAGGGUGAAGUAGACAUUUAGUCCAAAGUAGACACCAAAUUGAAUAACUAGAGGAUACACAGUCUAGAACAUGAACUGAACAUCGCCAAAAUACCAAACACAAAACAAUCACAACAGUCCCAGAAUAUGACCUGAUGUUUCCUUGAUUAUCCAGAUCAGGGGGCUCACUGAAAUCCUUUUCAUUUCAACAUGGCAGAAUGAAGAAUGAAGAUUGCUGGGUCUGCCACCUGUUGGAUUCACCUGUUGGAUCCACCUUCUAAACUCAAGAGGGAGCCAUGGACUUGCUCUCCACACCCUCAUCCCAACCCAAGGAGAGGAACUAGGAUUCGGGUUGGGGCCACACAUAAUAAUGGUUUCAGUGAGACUUUUGGUGAACAGAGGAAAGAACCCCUCGCUUCUGGUUCUCUGAGGAGUACCUGUCCCAGGGCCUAAGCAGGAACCUGUUGGGGCUCCUGGCGAAGGAUGCAGGGUUUCCACCUGUCUCCUCAAGGCCAAAUGAAUCCUCUUGACCCUUGUACACUCUAAUCUAACUGCCUUGGCUAGCCCAGUGAGGCCCGUGAUGGUAAGAAAAACUGUUCAUUGACCAAGCAACCUCUCUGCACAUCUCUUUUGGAAAUCUGUGCUGUGAGUGGGUGAAGCACAUAGCAGUUCUGGAUUCCAGCCAGAUACCUACUUGUUUCUACCUUGGACAGUCAAUCCAAAUCUUUCACAACUUACUUUCCUCUUGUCUAGACCCUUACUUUCUUCUUGUCAUGGAGCUGAAAAUUGGUGGUAAUGGAGGACACCCCAAUACAGUUGAACCCCAUGAGGCAACUAAUAUGUUAUUCUUCCAACUCAAACGUAUGAUUGAUCUCAGGUAUCCACCAGUGCAUUUGCUGAUUUAACAACUUAAAAGAGACAUUUGAAAAUGCCUUUCUUGAUAUUUUUGUGAACAAGAGAUGAGAGAGGAGACCUGUCUCAUGAGGGGUGUUUGUACUUGAUCAAGCAAGUCUAAUGACAAUACAGUUUAUUAGGCCCCUUCCACAUAUUGAGCAUGGAGGGAGGAACAUCCCAUGUGCUUUUAUAAUUUUGAUUCACAAAGUAACUGAGGUUCAUGCAAUAGUCCAGACUUCAGCCUCUGAAUUCCAGGUUCUCU
ensembl:lncRNA